GUGCGGGGGGCCCUGGACACGCGCUGCACCGAGUCCUCCCGCUUCGCCGGCGCCGGUGAAGGGCCUUUCCCAACGCGGCGGCCCCGCCCCGCCCCCACGCGGGCCGCGAGCGCCCGUCCCGACGGCUCCACUGUCAUGUUCAUAGCAUAUUGGACGUGUUCCUGGGACGUAUUUUUAUCAGCGACUCAACCCAGUUUGAAAAGAAAAGACUUAAGGCUCUUUACAAGUCAAGACACACAAAGCACAGACGAUGGCAUGGAGGCAGGGACGAGCCUCGUGCAGCCGUGGCCAGCACGAAGGCCUGUUCGGGAAAGGCCGCGUCCAGAUCGGAGCCGUGUCCCUUGGCAGCUGUGUGACCCCAGGCGUGCUCAUUAACCCCCAGGGAAGUCUCUUCACUGAAAACCACGGGAUCGCCUUCACUGAAAACGGAAAUGGGGUGAAAAGUUGGGCCUUCAUGCUAGAUGCUUGUGAGGCCUGCGUGCCUUCCGGCGCGCACAGCGCCCAGGGGCCCAGGGACGGCGGCAGUGGGUCCGGGGCUGGGCCAUCACCCUCACUCUUUGAAUUAACUGGCGUUACCCACCGGAAAGGAAGCCGUCACAACGUCGGUGCUUGGAUUUCUAACAGCCAACCGUGUUCACACACAUAAAUCCAGGUAGAGCUUUCCAGAAAGGUUGAACACGUCACUCAAGUAAUGAGAUUGGCUGGUACCUAGUGGUAUAAAUCUGAGAAAAUGUCAUAGAUGAAUUUCCCCAUCCCCAUCCAAAGCUCAAUUUGGGUGAUGUUUAUGAGGUAACCACGGGCUAGAUUAUGAACCUGCACAUUCGCAGAUGGCCAGCCUCUGUCAUGUAUGGCAAGGUUACAUUAGUGUUUAUGGAUUCCUAACAAAAUAAGGCAAUAAAACGUGAA